AUUAGGCUUGGUCUGUGGCAGAAUGGUGCCCAAGCAGGGACCCCUGGACAGGAUGACAUGUCAUGCAAUAUUAAAAUGAAAAGUGACUUUGUGUGCUGGUAUAAGAAGAUCUUGAAGAUAGAGAUGACAGACCACCUGGACAAUGCUUCCUGAUCGUUUUUGUUAAAGUCUGGGAUGUCUUUGGCAUCUUCAUCUGCAUACCUUCUUUUGCUGCAGGAACACUCUGCUUGGACAGAUGGCAUAUUUGGACACAUUUACAGGAUGACAUGUCAUGCAAUAUUAAAAUGAAAAGUGACUCUGUGUGCUGGCCUAAGAAGAUCUUGAAGAUAGAGAUGACAGACCACCUGGACAAUGCUUCCUGAUCGUUUUUGUUAAAGGACUGUCACCCUGAAUCGGGAGGCUCCUGGCACUUUGCCCUUCUGCUUGUUGACAUCCCCUGAAGGAGGAGUUCUCAGGACACAUCAGGUGAAUUCUAGCCAUAACAUCAGGCUCCAAAGAGUUUUCUAGCUAAUAAUGUCCACUAUUGAAGACGUUUCGUUCUUGUCUAUUUGCUGGAUGCCUGGGUUAGCAGAAGCUUGUCUAAGGAGUCACUGCCUGUGUUGAAGUGGGCUCUGCAGUGAAAUAGCUGUUGGGAAGUUACCCAAGCUCCUGUAAGUAACCUCACACUGGACUCCUUAGCAACCCCGAAGGAAGCUCAGUAGAUCCUCAAGUUGAAUGUCUGCACAGUUG
rnacentral:lncRNA from 1 species